CUUGUCUUGUAGUCUGAUGCAUACUCUUAGGAUGAUGUUAACUAAUUUAUUAAGUUUUUUGUUGGACAGAGGAGCAAGUUCAUUGAUUAUAGAUUUAUAAUAAUAGCUAGCAAAUAUGUGAUGCGAAUACCAAAUAUUAAUGAAUAUGCUUUUGUUUAUUUAAUAGCAAAAGUGCUUAUGGUAAUUCACUCAGUUGAAUGAAUAAACAGAAACCCAAACAGUCUUAAACAAAACCGAAAGCGAAACUCACUCAUUGGUUUGGUUAUGAUUUCUAAUUUAAAAAAUAAGAAUUUAAUGGUUAUGGUUGUGAUUCUACCCUAAAACUGAGCUCAAAUCGGGCUUUGCUCUCCCCAGAAACGGUUGAAGUUGCAUGGAGGUCUAUGCAUAUUGUUUCUUGAGCAGGAAAUAAGAGGCUGAUAGCAAUUUCAACAUAUUGACUGGAUUGGAAUGCUAUGCCAGGCUUAUUAUUCAUUUAAAAGCCCUUGAACAGAGAAAAGUGUAAAUCUAUAGCAAGAAUAGAAAAAUCAUGCUAGUCAUAAUUCUUAUAUUGGACUGAGCUCUUUU
rnacentral:lncRNA from 1 species